rnacentral:rRNA from 1 species
UACGUAGGGGGCGAGCGUUGUCCGGAUUUAUUGGGCGUAAAGAGCGUGUAGGCGGCCAGGUAGGUCUGCUGUGAAAACUCGAGGCUCAACCUCGAGACGUCGGCGGAAACCAUCUGGCUAGAGUCCGGAAGAGGAGAGUGGAAUUCCUGGUGUAGCGGUGAAAUGCGCAGAUAUCAGGAAGAACACCCGUGGCGAAGGCGGCUCUUUGGGACGGUACUGACGCUGAGACGCGAAAGCGUGGGGAGCGAACAGG